NNNNNNNNNNNNNNNNNNNNNNNNCACGCACCCUGCCCACUCGCACACCUGCAUGCACCCUGCACGACUGCACACCUGUACACACGUGCACACAUCCUGCAUGACCACACACACACGCACCCUGUCCACUCGCACACCUGCACGCACCCUGCCCACUCGCACACCUGCAUGCACCCUGCACGACUGCACACCUGCACACACACGUGCACACCCUGCACGUCGGGGCACGCACCCUGCCCACUCGCACACCUGCAUGCACCCUGCACGACUGCACACCUGUACACACGUGCACACAUCCUGCAUGACUGCACACACACGCACCCUGCCCACUCGCACACCUGCACGCACCCUGCACACUUGCACACCUGCAGGCAUGUGCAUGCACACUGCAUGCCUGUGCAUGCACACACCCUGCACACUCGCACACCUGCACACAUGUGCACACGCCCUGCACGACUGCACACACACGCACCCUGCACUCACACACCUGCACACACCUGCAUACACACCCUGCACAUGCACGCACCCUACACACUCACACACCUGCACACACAUGCAUGCACCCUGCACCCCUGCGCACACACGCACCCCGCACACUUGCACACCUGCACACGCAUUCACCCUGCAUACUUGCACACAUGCAGGCAUGUGCACACAGCCUGCAUGCCUGCAUAUGCACACACCCUGCGCCCCUGCACCUGCACACGCACACAGCCUGCACGCAUGCACGCGCACACACCCCACAUGCCUACACACAUGCAUGCACCCUGAGCACCUGCAUGUGCACGAACCCUACAUGCCUGUGCACGUGCACGUGCAUGCACCCUGCACACCUCUGCACAUGCACCUUGCAUGCCUGUGCCCAGGCACGCGCACCCAGCAUGCACGCACAUACACGCACAUGCACCCGACAGUCCUGCGCACAUGCGUGCGCACGCACCCUGCACACCCGUGCACACGCACAUGCACCCUGCAGGCCCGCGCGCACGCACACGCACGCUGCCUGUCUGCGCACACACGUGAGCAGGCCGGCAGCCUCGCACACACCCGCACAGGCACCCGCACCCCUGCGCACGCGUGUCGUGCCGGCCCAGGGAGCCACGGGCAGGCCG
rnacentral:lncRNA from 1 species